rnacentral:rRNA from 1 species
UACGGGGUAGCAAUAUUCCGUAGUCGGAGCGGCGCAAGGGUGCGUAACACGUGGGUAAUCUGCCGUGAAGUCUGGAAUAACUUGCUGAAAGGCGAGCUAAUACCGGAUGUGAAAAUUGGGGGGCAUCUCCUGAUUUUCAAAGUUGGGGACCGAAAGGCCUGACGCUUCACGAUGAGCCCGCGGCCUAUCAGCUAGUUGGUGAGGUAACGGCUCACCAAGGCUAAGACGGGUAGCUGGUCUGAGAGGACGACCAGCCACACUGGAACUGAGACACGGUCCAGACACCUACGGGUGGCAGCAGUCGAGAAUUUUUCACAAUGGGGGAAACCCUGAUGGAGCGACGCCGCGUGGGGGAUGAAUGGCUUCGGCCCGUAAACCCCUGUCAUUCGCGAACAAUGCCUGCGGUCUAAUAAAUCGCAGGUUGAUAGUAGCGGAAGAGGAAGGGACGGCUAACUCUGUGCCAGCAGCCGCGGUAAUACAGAGGUCCCAAGCGUUGUUCGGAUUCACUGGGCGUAAAGGGUGCGUAGGCGGUCGGGUAAGUCUGAUGUGAAAUCUCAGAGCUCACUCUGAACUGCAUUGAUUGAUACUAUUCGGCUUGAGGUCUGGAGGGGGGACUGGAAUUCACGGUGUAGCA